UACGUAGGGAGCAAGCGUUGUCCGGAUUUACUGGGUGUAAAGGGUGCGUAGGCGGCCUUGCAAGUCAGAAGUGAAAUCCAUGGGCUUAACCCGUGAACUGCUUUUGAAACUGUAGGGCUUGAGUGAAGUAGAGGCAGGCGGAAUUCCCGGUGUAGCGGUGAAAUGCGUAGAGAUCGGGAGGAACACCAGUGGCGAAGGCGGCUUCCUGGUCUGCAACUGACACUGAGGCGCGAAAGCGUGGGGAGCAAACAGG
rnacentral:rRNA from 1 species